rnacentral:rRNA from 1 species
GACGUAGGGUGCAAGCGUUGUCCGGAAUUAUUGGGCGAAAGAGCUCGUAGGCGGUUUGUCGCGUCGGCUGUGAAAUCCCGAGGCUCAACCUCGGGCCUGCAGUCGAUACGGGCAAACUAGAGUGUGGUAGGGGAGACUGGAAUUCCGGGUGUAGCGGUGGAAUGCGUAGAGAUCCGGAAGAACACCGGUGGCGAAGGCGGGUCGCUGGGCCGAUAC